rnacentral:rRNA from 1 species
GACGAACGCUGGCGGCGUGCUUAACACAUGCAGGUCGAACGGAAAGGCCCUGCUUUUGUGGGGUGCUCGAGUGGCGAACGGGUGAGUAACACGUGAGUAACCUGCCCUUGACUUUGGGAUAACUUCAGGAAACUGGGGCUAAUACCGGAUAGGAGCUCCUGCUGCAUGGUGGGGGUUGGAAAGUUUCGGCGGUUGGGGAUGGACUCGCGGCUUAUCAGCUUGUUGGUGGGGUAGUGGCUUACCAAGGCUUUGACGGGUAGCCGGCCUGAGAGGGUGACCGGCCACAUUGGGACUGAGAGACGGCCCAGACUGCUACGGGAGGCAGCAGUGGGGAAUAUUGCACAAUGGGCGGAAGCCUGAUGCAGCAACGCCGCGUGCGGGAUGACGGCCUUCGGGUUGUAAACCGCUUUCGCCUGUGACGAAGCGUGAGUGACGGUAAUGGGUAAAGAAGCACCGGCUAACUACGUG